GGCCCACUACCUGCAGAGAGAAAGUCGUUCAAGAACCUACCUGCACCAGGAUGCAUAAAGAAGUUAUUUAUGCCAUUUUCUGUGUGACGUUACAACUUGCAGAGGAUGGAGGGAG